rnacentral:ncRNA from 1 species
GAUCGCGCAAUGCCGCCAUGGUGUCCCCCACCGCUCCGCCUGUUUUUCACUGCAUGAUUGCAUAUACCAGUUUCGGUAUAGCAACCACCAAAGAUCGCAUUUGACAGUUAUGUCAAAGGGACACACCCUUCGCGCGUUCCGRGGCGCAGAGAUCGGCGACGAGCAAAAUCGUAUCGAUUGAAACAGCGUCGCGGGGCCCAUUGGGAGGAUAYCGGAGAUCGAUAAAGCCGACAGAGGCGCAACCGCGCUCCUGUUCGACUGCGCGGCCCGCGAAGCCCCGAGGUGUCGCGUCGUCCAUCAACCAGGGAGAGUAAU